rnacentral:rRNA from 1 species
UAAGGGCGCACGGUGGAUGCCUUGGCACUAGAAGCCGAUGAAGGACGUUACUAACGACGAUAUGCUUUGGGGAGCUGUAAGUAAGCUUUGAUCCAGAGAUUUCCGAAUGGGGAAACCCAGCAUGAGUUAUGUCAUGUUAUCGAUAUGUGAAUACAUAGCAUAUCAGAAGGCACACCCGGAGAACUGAAACAUCUUAGUACCCGGAGGAAGAGAAAGAAAAUUCGAUUCCCUUAGUAGCGGCGAGCGAAACGGGAAGAGCCCAAACCAACAAGCUUGCUUGUUGGGGUUGUAGGACACUCUAUACGGAGUUACAAAGGACGACAUUAGACGAAUCAUCUGGAAAGAUGAAUCAAAGAAGGUAAUAAUCCUGUAGUCGAAAAUGUUGUCUCUCUUGAGUGGAUCCUGAGUACGACGGAGCACGUGAAAUUCCGUCGGAAUCUGGGAGGACCAUCUCCUAAGGCUAAAUACUCUCUAGU